UCCAAUGCCUCAGGUGACUGAAGCCCCUGGCGUGGGCAGGUCACCCGUGCAGGUGAAGGGGAGAGAAGCUCCAGCAUUUCAGUGCCCAUCUCUGCAUUAGCCAGGCGCCACCGUGAGAUUAAGGAGCUCUGCAGUGACAUUCUCAACACGGACUGUUCAAAGGUCAGCAGAGCCUUUCAUUCUGGGAAAGCCCAGA
rnacentral:lncRNA from 1 species